GCCGGGGUGGCGGAAUUGGCAGACGCUACGGACUUAAAAUCCGUUGGGACGAGGGUCUCGUGUGGGUUCAACUCCCAUCCCCGGCACCA
rnacentral:tRNA from 1 species